rnacentral:rRNA from 1 species
AUUGAACGCUGGCGGCAUGCUUUACACAUGCAAGUCGAACGGUAACAGGUUAAGCUGACGAGUGGCGAACGGGUGAGUAAUGCAUCGGAACGUGCCCGAUCGUGGGGGAUAACGCAGCGAAAGCUGCGCUAAUACCGCAUACGAUCUGAGGAUGAAAACGGGGGACCGUAAGGCCUCGCGCGAUCGGAGCGGCCGAUGUACGAUUAGGUAGUUGGUGGGGUAAAGGCUCACCAAGCCGACGAUCUGUAGCUGGUCUGAGAGGACGACCAGCCACACUGGGACUGAGACACGGCCCAGACCCCUACGGGAGGCAGCAGUGGGGAAUUUUGGACAAUGGGCGAAAGCCUGAUCCAGCAAUGCCGCGUGCAGGAAGAAGGCCUUCGGGUUGUAAACUGCUUUUGUACGGAGCGAAAAGGCUCUCUCUAAUACAGGGGGCUCAUGACGGUACCGUAAGAAUAAGCACCGGCUAACUACGUGCCAGCCGCCGCAGUAAAAC